GCUCAUAAUUGUGGACACACACAGCACUGAGAGAGGCGUUCUUAAAGAUUUCUCAAAGGAGAGGAAGAAGUAAAAAGAAGAUGGUGAAAUAGCUUCCCAAUGAUAAAUCGGAAAAAGUGGAAAACAGCUGGUCCUCAGGAUCCUCCAGCCUUUGCCAAGGAAAAGUGGUUUUAAUCACUGAAGAAUGAGGCUUCAACAUAUGGAAAGACUGUAAGGUGUUCCUGGACAGCAAGUGAGUGACUUGCUCACAGGCGGUAAUUCAGGGACCCAGGUUUCUUCUACCUGGUAGCUCUACUGUCCUUCAGAACCUCAGAGCCCUGUGCAUUCAGCCAGCAGGAGAAAGACCACUACUAAGGUCAUUCACUUUGGGAGAAGCCAGUCUUCAUGCCAUGAGGACGUUCAGGCAGCCCUGUGGAGAGAACCACAUGGAAAGGAUCUGAGGUCUCUCACCAGCACCAAUUUGCCAGCUAUGGGAAUGGGCCACCUUGGAAGGAGACUGUCCAGCCCAAGUGAAGGCUGCAGAUAACUGCAGCUUUGGCCAACAUUUGGCUAUAUUGCUUUGGGAAAUCUCAAGCCAGAACCAUCUGGCCAAGCUGCUCUUAAAUUCCUGAUCCACAGAAGUUUUGGAAGGCCCUCUUGUGUGAUCCAGAGAGGUUGCAACAUUUUUUGAGUCAGGUAACAAGACACACAAUUCUUACAGAUCCCUCAAGAGCUGUUUGAAAAAUAGUGGAUUUUAAAAUCUAGAAGGAGUGUGAAAGGAACCCAGGGGCUUUGCCAAUGGAGUGUCAUCAUUCAGGCCCCAUUUUGAAUCUAAACCAUCUGAUGAACCCUUUGCUGACACAUCAGCCUAUUGCUUCCUGGAAGAAUAAUUUGCACUUCAAGACUAAUUCUGAAACAAUACAAUUGCAAGGAGGAAACACAUUUGGAGUAGAGAAAUUAUAUAUGUAUAUAAAACUUAUUAUCUAACCAGGACAUAUUUGAG
rnacentral:lncRNA from 1 species